rnacentral:tRNA from 1 species
UCCCUGGAGGUCCAGUGGUUAAGAUUAUGCACUUCCAAUGCAGGGGACACAGGUUCAAUCCAUGGUCAGGGAA